GAUGGCUCAAUGGUAGAGCAGUGGUAGAGCACUUGCUUGGUAUGCAAAAGGUCUUAGGUUCGAUCCUUGGCAUCUCCA
rnacentral:tRNA from 1 species